GUUUUUUCUCUUCUUGUUUGAACUGGUCUUUUUUAUUAAUGCUAAUUUGUUGUGCUUUAUUGAUGGUUAAUAGAUCUGUUGCUGUACGUCAUUUUGGAUCCUUGUGAAGAGAAAAACAGGGUAGCAGAUUCCAUCACCCUCUCGUGUGACCAAGCAACAGUGAGCGACUGAAGACCGACUGGCUUCAUUUUGUGGGAGAAACUAAACAAGGUGAGUGGGCAGAGAGGCAAGCAGGCAGGCAUGGGCAGAUGACAGAAAAUGACUUUGGUUUUUUUUCAUGAGCAUUCUCUGGAUGCCAUUUUGUAGCUCUGGAUGCCAUUUUGUGAUUCCAACCAUUUUGACUGAAUUCUGACUUUAGUUCUGACAUUAGUUCUAAUAGUUCUGACCUGAUAUUGGGAACUCAAGAUUGCAUCGGAUUUCUGCUGAUUUUUUCUGAUUUUGCCAAUGUUGGAGCAAUCCCAACAUAGAAUAGGCAACAGAUAACAAGAGCAUAAUGAAGGAUUUUAAGGUAUCAGACCUGAAAGGACAGAUUUUUACAAUGUUGUCCAGGGAGAAGCAAUAUGGCUUGGCAACAGACUGAAAAGCGGCAGCAAAGAAGAAGCUUGCUUUGCACUGAUGGCACCAUGAGGAGCAAGUUCUGCCUGUGAAGGGCAAUCACAUAGUCCAACUGCUCGAUAAUAGGUGCCAUUAUCACAUGACAUGUGGCUAUGUGACUUCAUUUGAGAUAUAGCAGUGAAUACAUUUGUUACUGUUAGCAUCCAUAAUUUUUAAUUUGCUCACUGGAAUGACAGAAAUGAAGCUUAAAUUUACA